rnacentral:rRNA from 1 species
ACGAAGAUACUUAAAAUGAGAGCUUCGGCAGGAUUUUUAUUUAUCUUAGUGGCGGACGGGUGAGUAACGUGUGGGCAACCUGCCCUAUACUGGGGAAUAAUCACUGGAAACGGUGACUAAUACCGCAUGUCAUUACGGAAGGGCAUCCUUCUGUAAGAAAAGGAGUAAUUCGGUAUAGGAUGGGCCCGCAUCUGAUUAGCUAGUUGGUGAGAUAACAGCCCACCAAGGCGACGAUCAGUAGCCGACCUGAGAGGGUGAUCGGCCACAUUGGGACUGAGACACGGCCCAAACUCCUACGGGAGGCAGCAGUGGGGAAUAUUGCACAAUGGGGGAAACCCUGAUGCAGCAACGCCGCGUGAAGGAAGAAGGUUUUCGGAUCGUAAACUUCUAUCAACAGGGACGAAGAAAGUGACGGUACCUGAAUAAGAAGCCCCGGCUAACUACGUGCCAGCAGCCGCGGUAAUACGUAGGGGGCAAGCGUUAUCCGGAAUUACUGGGUGUAAAGGGAGCGU